rnacentral:rRNA from 1 species
UACAGAGGUCCCAAGCGUUGUUCGGAUUCAUUGGGCGUAAAGGGUGCGUAGGCGGCGCGGUAAGUCGGGUGUGAAAUCUCGGGGCUUAACUCCGAAACUGCAUUCGAUACUGCCGUGCUUGAGGACUGGAGAGGAGACUGGAAUUUACGGUGUAGCAGUGAAAUGCGUAGAGAUCGUAAGGAAGACCAGUGGCGAAGGCGGGUCUCUGGACAGUUCCUGACGCUGAGGCACGAAGGCCAGGGGAGCAAACGGG